rnacentral:tRNA from 1 species
GCCGCCAUGGUGAAAUUGGUAGACACGCUGUUCUUAGGAAGCAGUGCUCAAGCAUCUCGGUUCGAAUCCGAGUGGCGGCA